rnacentral:rRNA from 1 species
GAUGAACGCUAGCGACAGGCUUAACACAUGCAAGUCGAGGGGCAGCAUAAAAGUAGCAAUACUUUGGUGGCGACCGGCGCACGGGUGAGUAACGCGUAUGCAACCUACCUAUCAGAGGGGAAUAACCCGGCGAAAGUCGGACUAAUACCGCAUAAAACAGGGGCACCGCAUGGUGAUAUUUGUUAAAGAAAUUCGCUGAUAGAUGGGCAUGCGUUCCAUUAGGUAGUUGGUGAGGUAACGGCUCACCAAGCCGACGAUGGAUAGGGGAACUGAGAGGUUGGUCCCCCACACUGGUACUGAGACACGGACCAGACUCCUACGGGAGGCAGCAGUGAGGAAUAUUGGUCAAUGGGCGAGAGCCUGAACCAGCCAAGUCGCGUGAAGGAAGAAGGAUUUAUGGUUCGUAAACUUCUUUUGCAGGGGAAUAAAGUGCAGGACGUGUCCUGUUUUGUAUGUACCCUGAGAAUAAGGAUCGGCUAACUCCGUGCCAGCCGCCGCCGUAAGAC